UACGUAGGGUGCAAGCGUUGUCCGGAAUUAUUGGGCGUAAAGGGCGCGUAGGCGGCUUAGCAAGUGACGGGUGAAAUCCCUCGGCUUAACCGAGGAACUGCCUGUCAAACUGCAUGGCUUGAAGACCAGGAGAGGUGAGUGGAAUUCCCAGUGUAGCGGUGAAAUGCGUAGAUAUUGGGAGGAACACCAGUGGCGAAGGCGGUCACUGGACUGGUACUGACGCUGA
rnacentral:rRNA from 1 species